rnacentral:misc_RNA from 1 species
AAGUCGUAACAAGGUUGGAUUACAGCACGUCAAUGAGCCUUCCGUGGGUGGGUCCGUCCGUCCUUUGAUGGUCAAACAUCGGAGGCUCUGGUGGGCUGCUUGGAUGAUCAUGCAAUCAUUUUCCGUCACGGUAUUUGUCCGGUAUCUCUGUGCCCCAUGCUAUCGUUCAGUCGUGUACAUGUGCGUGUGUACACGUUUAAUUACUUAAACAAUAAACCAACUCUUAGCAACGGAUAUCUUGGUUCUC